rnacentral:rRNA from 1 species
AUUGAACGCUGGCGGCAGGCUUAACACAUGCAAGUCGAGCGGGGUGAUGGUGCUUGCACUAUCACUUAGCGGCGGACGGGUGAGUAAUGCUUAGGAAUCUGCCUAUUAGUGGGGGACAACAUCUCGAAAGGGAUGCUAAUACCGCAUACGUCCUACGGGAGAAAGCAGGGGAUCACUUGUGACCUUGCGCUAAUAGAUGAGCCUAAGUCGGAUUAGCUAGUUGGUGGGGUAAAGGCCUACCAAGGCGACGAUCUGUAGCGGGUCUGAGAGGAGGAUCCGGCAACAUGGGACUGAGCAACGGCCCAGACUCCUACGGGAGGCAGCAGUGGGGAAUAUUGGACAAUGGGGGGAACCCUGAUCCAGCCAUGCCGCGUGUGUGAAGAAGGCCUUAUGGUUGUAAAGCACUUUAAGCGAGGAGGAGGCUCUUUUGGUUAAUACCCAAGAUGAGUGGACGUUACUCGCAGAAUAAGCACCGGCUAACUCUGUGCCAGCCGCCGCCGUAA